rnacentral:rRNA from 1 species
UGCCAGCCGCCGCGGUAAUACGGAGGGUGCAAGCGUUAUUCGGAAUCACUGGGCGUAAAGGACGCGUAGGCGGGACAGUAAGUCUGAUGUGAAAUCCUAUGGCUUAACCAUAGAACUGCAUUGGAAACUACUGACCUAGAGUAUGGGAGGGGGAGAUGGAAUUAGUGGUGUAGGGGUAAAAUCCGUAGAUAUCACUAGGAAUACCGAAAGCGAAGGCGAUCUCUUGGUCCAUAACUGACGCUGAGGCGCGAAAGCGUGGGGAGCAAACAGGAUUAGAUA